CGCGUCAAAGUGUGUUGGGUAUGGACUGACAAGGUUUUUUUUUUUACACCACAGCAAUAGCACAGUACAAGUAGUACCAGUAACAUCUUUUCAACAUGAGAGUUAUCUGCCCCAGUAAAGGUACCGUGGAGUUUGAGAGAAAUGUCAACAAAUGUCACCUAACUGGCAUCAGCAACAAUGACAACCUGUGUCACUACACGGGCGUCGAACCCAGGACCCCGACGUACUCGUACCCUCAGUACGACGAGGAGAUGGGUCCUGCGAGCCCAACAGAUUUAAAGAACCACUUCAGCUACCAGGAGAGCUACAGAGAUUUAACAGAGCUUUUGAGAGAAGAAGAAAGGGG